CCUGGUGCCUGUAGGUAGCUGGUCUCCAGUCCUGCCUCUGGCACCAUCUUCUGCUGCUCCUGGAUGGACCCAGGACCUGAGUCCUUUGCUGUGUCUGGGAGUGUUGAUGGACCCUCUUACCAGCACCCAGCCCUGCCUGCUGUGUUCAGGCUGCACCCUUCUUGGGCUGCUCUCAACCCAUUCAUCUGAGUUUGGGCUCCUGUUCUGGAUGCUGACAAUCACUUUGUGGGGUUGGAAGAAACUUGGUGUUUUCAGCUGCCUCAGAAACACUGAAAACUUGCUGUGCAGGAACCGUACUCAGGGUACUCACUAUCCCAAGAACUGUUGAGCCAACUAAUUUUCUGGUGGAAAGCCUGCCAGCAUGUUGAAGGCUGAGGGAAUUCUGUGGAACACGUUCAGAAAGCAAAUGAUUGAUUCAUCAUCGUCGGUGGUGGAGAACCGAUUCCAGGAAUUAUGUGUGUGCCAAGCUGAAGCCUGUCGAAGCCAGGGAAAAGGCAUCCUUGAAUUUGGGUCAUCAGUCAGCGUAGGGAAACGCAUGGAGGCCCUGGUACAGGAAAGCUUAACUUCCAGUGCGUGCUCAAGCCUAACUAACCUCUGUUCAUGUCAAUGGAGAUAAAAUUAAACAUGAGGUCAAGAUUUUGGAUAAGAAUGGUUUAUGGCCUGGAGGCUUACGUGGAUGAGAAGGUCAGGCCAACGAGCUGGGGCAUUUGAUAUUGAGGAAUCUAAUCAAGGAGCUCCUGCGUAAGCUGCAGUGUGAAUCAGGGAAUAAUUCGGGAUAACAGACACAUCUGAGUAAUUCAUGACCUACUGGCAGAUGAUUCACGCAGACAGGCAACAUCCAUCAGUGACGUUAUUCCUUGCAGAGGUUGUCUUGGGAGGCUUAUGGGUCUGCAGGUGGCUCCAUCUGGGGGGUUCAUCAAGGAAAAAGCUGGGAGCAGCUGGGAUCGUGGGGACAACCCGGCACACGUUGCUGCAUGGGGGCAGAGCUGGUCCUUCACCCACCAGCGGCCCAAGGGCCAUGGUGCAAUAGGAGCUUUGGGCAAAGGGGGACCUUCAGGUUUUUCAAGCUGUCCUUGAGAAGAAAGGGAUCAAGGUGAGGUGUGAGGGGCACUACUGUAGACCCCGUAUCCUGUCCCUGCUCUGCCACACACCUCCCGUGUAACCUUGUUUAG